rnacentral:rRNA from 1 species
CAAUAAGCGGAGGAAAAGAAACCAACAGGGAUUGCCCUAGUAACGGCGAGUGAAGCGGCAACAGCUCAAAUUUGAAAUCUGGCUUCGGCCCGAGUUGUAAUUUGCAGAGGAUGCUUUUGGUGCGGUGCCGUCCGAGUUCCCUGGAACGGGACGCCACAGAGGGUGAGAGCCCCGUAUGGUCGGACACCAAUCCUGUGUAAAGCUCCUUCGACGAGUCGAGUAGUUUGGGAAUGCUGCUCUAAAUGGGAGGUAAAUCUCUUCUAAAGCUAAAUACCGGCCAGAGACCGAUAGCGCACAAGUAGAGUGAUCGAAAGAUGAAAAGCACCUUGAAAAGGGGGUUAAACAGUACGUGAAAUUGUUGAAAGGGAAGCACUUGUGACCAGACUUGGGCCGGGCGGCUCAUCAGGGGUUCUCCCCUGUGCACUCCGCCCGGUACAGGCCAGCAUCGGUUUUUGCCGGGGGUUAAUAACGGUAGGAACGUGGCUCCCCCUCGGGGGAGUGUUAUAGCCUGCCGUACGAUACCCUGGCGGGGACCGAGG